GACGAACGCUGGCGGCGUGCCUAAUACAUGCAAGUUGAGCGCUGAAGGUUGGUCCUUGUACCAACUGGAUGAGCAGCGAACGGGUGAGUAACGCGUGGGGAAUCUACCUUUGAGCGGGGGACAACAUUUGGAAACGAAUGCUAAUACCGCAUAAAAACUUUAAACACAAGGUUUAAGUUUGAAAGAUGCAAUUGCAUCACUCAAAGAUGAUCCCGCGUUGUAUUAGCUAGUUGGUGAGGUAAAGGCUCACCAAGGCGAUGAUACAUAGCCGACCUGAGAGGGUGAUCGGCCACAUUGGGACUGGGACACGGCCCAAACUCCUACGGGAGGCAGCAGUAGGGAAUCUUCGGCAAUGGACGAAAGUCUGACCGAGCAACGCCGCGUGAGUGAAGAAGGUUUUCGGAUCGUAAAACUCUGUUGGUAGAGAAGAACGUUGGUGAGAGUGGAAAGCUCAUCAAGUGACGGUAACUACCCAGAAAGGGACGGCUAACUACGUG
rnacentral:rRNA from 1 species